AGUGAACGCUGGCGGCAGGCCUAAUACAUGCAAGUCGAACGGCAGCACAGCAGAGCUUGCUCUGUGGGUGACGAGUGGCGGACGGGUGAGGAAUACGUGGGAAUCUGCCCAGUCGUGGGGAUAACGUAGGGAAACUUACGCUAAUACCGCAUGCGCCCUUCGGGGAAAGCCGGGGACCUUCGGGCCUGGCGCGAUUGGAUGAGCCCACGUCGGAUUAGCUAGUUGGCGGGGUAAAGGCCCACCAAGGCGACGAUCCGUAGCUGGUCUGAGAGGAUGAUCAGCCACACUGGAACUGAGACACGGUCCAGACUCCUACGGGAGGCAGCAGUAGGGAUAUUGGACAAUGGGCGCAAGCCUGAUCCAGCCAUGCCGCGUGAGUGAAGAAGGCCCUCGGGGUUGUAAAGCGUCUUUUG
rnacentral:rRNA from 1 species